CAGGAUUACUGCUCAAGAGUUUACAAGCGUGCAAGUAAAAUUGCUCCAGUCAGAAGCAGGCAUCUUUUACUAAGGACCUUACUGAAUCUGACUGUUCUUAGACUGUGUGGAAAUUUAUCUGCAAUUAAGUAUACAAAGUACAGUUGCAGAGUAAUCUGAAGCAUAAUACUCGCUUUUGGAGGUCUGAAAGCAAUUAAGAAGGCUGAAUACAAGUAACUUGCAGAAGUCUGGAAGAAAAAAUGGAUCACAUCCUCAACUGUUGCAAAUUGAAGUAUCUCCCCAGAGUUUGUUGUGGCUAUUUAGAUCAUAUCACAAGAAUAUGACAGCAGCAAAAUGUGACUUUUCUAGUAAAUGUACUUCAGUGUCCUUUCAAGAACAUUCAUUUAAUAAAAGAGAUUUAAAGAAAGAAUUUUCUUCACCCACAGUUGAAGACUGUUGGAGAACCUGACUGUAUAUGGUCUACUCAAGCUCAAUAUUUAAUGGUAUUACCAUUAACAUCUACCAUAUGUAAGCUUGUACCUUGCCAUAUCAGUGUCUAAGCUCUACAGAAAUAAAAUAUGCCACCCACAUC
ensembl:lncRNA